rnacentral:rRNA from 1 species
CCUACGGGUGGCAGCAGUGAGGAAUAUUGGUCAAUGGCCGGAAGGCUGAACCAGCCAAGCCGCGUGAAGGACGAAGGUGCCAAGCAUUGUAAACUUCUUUUGUCAAGGGACAAAAUCAGGCGCGAGAGCCUGACCGAGGGUACUUGAAGAAAAAGCAUCGGCUAACUCCGUGUCCGCAGCCGCGGUAAUACGGAGGCUGCGAGCGUUAUCCGGAUUUAUUGGGUUUAAAGGGUGCGUAGGCGGGCGGGUAAGUCAGCGGUAAAAGCCCGGGGCUCAACCCCGGCGAGCCGGUGAAACUGGCUGUCUUGAGAUGUCGAGAGGUAUGCGGAAUGCGCAGUGUAGCGGUGAAAUGCUUAGAGAUUGCGCAGAACUCCGAUUGCGAAGGCAGCAUACCGGCGGCGAUCUGACGCUGAGGCACGAAAGCGUGGGUAGCGAACAGGAUUAGAUACCCGAGUAGUC